GACGAACCGUGCGAACGUUGUUCGGAAUCACUGGGCAUAAAGGGCGCGUAGGCGGCUUUUCAAGUCAGGGGUGAAAUCCGGCAGCUUAACUGUCGAAGUGCCCUUGAUACUGAGGAGCUCGAGGGAGGUAGGGUGUGUGGAACUUCCGGUGGAGCGGUGAAAUGCGUUGAUAUCGGAAGGAACGCCGGUGGCGAAAGCGACGCACUGG
rnacentral:rRNA from 1 species